GUCUACGGCCAUACCACCCUGAAUGCGCCUGAUCCCGUCUGAUCUCGGAAGCUAAGCCGGGUCAGGCCUGGUUAGUACUUGGAUAGGAGAAGCAUCAUUUGUACAGGGAAAUUCGCCAAUUAUAUACA
rnacentral:rRNA from 1 species